rnacentral:rRNA from 1 species
GCAGUCGAACGAAGCACUUUAUUUGAUUUCCUUCGGGACUGAUUAUUUUGUCACUGAGUGGCGGACGGGUGAGUAACGCGUGGGUAACCUGCCUUGUACAGGGGGAUAACAGUUGGAAACGGCUGCUAAUACCGCAUAAGCGCACAGCAUCGCAUGAUGCAGUGUGAAAAACUCCGGUGGUAUAAGAUGGACCCGCGUUGGAUUAGCUAGUUGGUGAGGUAACGGCCCACCAAGGCGACGAUCCAUAGCCGACCUGAGAGGGUGACCGGCCACAUUGGGACUGAGACACGGCCCAAACUCCUACGGGAGGCAGCAGUGGGGAAUAUUGCACAAUGGGCGAAAGCCUGAUGCAGCGACGCCGCGUGAGCGAAGAAGUAUUUCGGUAUGUAAAGCUCUAUCAGCAGGGAAGAUAAUGACGGUACCUGACUAAGAAGCACCGGCUAAAUACGUGCCAGCAGCCGCGGUAAUACGUAUGGUGCAAGCGUUAUCCGGAUUUACUGGGUGUAAAGGGAGCGCAGGCGGUGCGGCAAGUCUGAUGUGAAAGCCCGGGGCUCAACCCCGGUACUGCAUUGGAAACUGUCGUACUAGAGUGUCGGAGGGGUAAGCGGAAUUCCUAGUGUAGCGGUGAAAUGCGUAGAUAUUAGGAGGAACACCAGUGGCGAAGGCGGCUUACUGGACGAUAACUGACGCUGAGGCUCGAAAGCGUGGGGAG